UACGUAGGGGGCAAGCGUUGUCCGGAAUCAUUGGGCGUAAAGAGCGUGUAGGCGGUCCGGUAAGUCGGUUGUGAAAGUCCAGGGCUCAACCCUGGGAUGCCGACCGAUACUGUCGGACUAGAGUUCGGAAGAGGCGAGUGGAAUUCCUGGUGUAGCGGUGGAAUGCGCAGAUAUCAGGAGGAACACCAAUAGCGAAGGCAGCUCGCUGGGACGUUACUGACACUGAGGCGCGAAAGCGUGGGGAGCGAACAGG
rnacentral:rRNA from 1 species